rnacentral:lncRNA from 1 species
CUGUAUCGUAGCACACGGCAGAGGAUUUUUAUACCGCAUUUUUAUGGAUUAUUUUUGGCGAGUUGGAUCUGGUGCAAGAGGAGAUAAAAACCAGCUCUUCAAGGGUUGAUUGAUGAGGGGAGAACGGUUUGGAGAGAGGGGAGAGGAGGAUGGGGAAGAGCUGGAGCUGCUGCCCUCCCAGGAGCCUUCAUCCCAUCCCAGGAGCCUUCAUCCCAUCCCAGGAGCCUUCAUCCCAUCCCUCUGAGGGAUCCAUCCCAGGAGCCUUCAUCCCAUCCUUCCAGGAGCCUUCAUCCCAUCCCAGGAGCCUUCAUCCCAUCCCAACCCUCCCAGGAGCCUUCAUCCCAUCCCAUCCCAGGAGCCUUCAUCCCUCCCAUCCCAUCCCAGGAGCCUUCAUCCCAUCCCUCUGUGGGAUCCAUCCCAUCCCUGAGGAAUCCAUCCCAACCCAUCCCAUCCCAGGAGGCUUCAUCCCAUCCCAGGAGCCUUCAUCCCAUUCCUCUGUGGGAUCCAUCCCAUCCCUCCGAGGGAUCCAUCCUAUCCCUAAGGAAUCCAUCCCAACCCAUCCCAUCCCUCCCAGGAGCCUUCAUUCCAUCCCUCUCCUCCAAGGGACCCAUCCCAUCCCAUCCCAUCCCAUCCCUCGGAAGGUUCCAUCCCUUCCCAUCCCAUCCCUCCCCUCUGAGGGAUCCAACCCAUCCCUCUGAAGGAUCCAACCCAUCCCAUCCCAUCCCUCUGAAGGAUCCAACCCAUCCCAUCCCAUCCCUCUGAAGGAUCCAUCCCAUCCCAUCCCAUCCCUCUGAAGGAUCCAGCCCUUCCCAACCCAUCCCUCUGAAGGAUCCAGCCCAUCCCUUCCCAACCCAUCCCAUCCCAUCCCAGCCCUCUGAGGGAUCCAUCCCAUCCCUUCCCAUCCCAUCCCUCCGGCUGCUCCCAGCGGAGCUGGGGAGGAGGAGGAGGAGGAGGAGGAGGAGGAGUUGGGAUCUCGGGGCAAUCCCGCUGUUCCCGCUGUUCCGUGGCCGUGGGAGCUCCUGAGCUGCCUCAGGGAAUUCCCAGCCUGGGGUGGGAUCCGCGUGGGGCAGGGGUGAUCCAACAAGGAAAAGUUCCCUGGAGCCGUUUUUGGGAAAGGCGUUCUGGGGCGCUCCGGCUCC